rnacentral:ncRNA from 1 species
GGUGCUUCCGGAUCAAAACGGAAGGUAAAAGGGAAACAGGUGAAAGACCUGUGCGAUCUCGUCACUGUAAGGGAAGAGCCCUCGGCCAUUAUGCCACUAGAGUCAUUCGGGAAGGCGGCCGUGAGGCGAUGACGCCCGAGCCAGGAAACCUGCCGGUGUUU